AGGUCCUACACCUCCACUAUCCAGCAGAUACAGAGCAGGUCCUGGUCGGGCAGUAAGAAGAUUACAUGAGGAGGAGGCUUUAGGUAGGAAGACCAGGCGACAUUGGGUACUCUGCUCGUAUUCUUAUAACAUGUGAGCACAGACAAGGUCUGGACCAGGAGACUCCUAAUAUAAAAGGCGAUUAUGGGCCCAACAGGAGGAUAUCACUGGGUUGUUUUCCUCAGUUAUUCUGCCCGGUAACAGCUGUUCUGCUGAGAGAUGGAUUCCUGCUUCUGAUUGGAGGAUCAGAUUCUGCCCGGUAACCAUGAUCUUCUGCCCAGCGAUGCUCCAGCCCAACAACAGCAUUCUGAUUGGCUGGAGGCCCAUUGGCGGGAAAAGUAUUUCCCUUAUAUACUGGGCUGUGGUGUCUCCAGCUCAGUCACCUGUGGGAAGAUUAGAAGAAGCCCCGCCCUCCCCCUUUUAUUUCACUUUCCUUUCCAUCACAAUGUUUUAUAGAAGAGCUGAUCCAGUUGUCUCCUAUUCUCCUGAAUGACCCCCAAGGAUGGACAAGGACAGGAAUGAGAUGACUAAGAGAUUAUUACACUUCACCUUGGAGAUCCUCCACCUGCUGACCGGAGAGGAUUACACCAUAGUGAAGAAGACAUGGGGGGAGUGUGUGGCCCCCAGCAGCCAUCUCCAUGAGUCAGGAGGAUGGAGCAGGGCCCGGGGCCCCAUCACAGAGCCUCCACCUCACUCACUGAUACAUGAGGAGAAGAUCCUAGAACUCACCCACAGGAUCACUGAGCUGCUGA